UACGUAGGGUGCGAGCGUUGUCCGGAAUUAUUGGGCGUAAAGAGCUCGUAGGCGGUGUGUCGCGUCGGCCGUGAAAACCUGGGGCUCAACUCUGGGCGUGCGGUCGAUACGGGCAUCACUAGAGUUCGGCAGGGGAGACUGGAAUUCCUGGUGUAGCGGUGAAAUGCGUAGAUAUCAGGAGGAACACCGAUGGCGAAGGCAGGUCUCUGGGCUGACACUGACGCUCAUGCACGAAAGCGUGGGGAGCAAACAGG
rnacentral:rRNA from 1 species